AACGAACGCUGGCGGCAUGCCUAACACAUGCAAGUCGAACGAGACCUUCGGGUCUGGUGGCGCACGGGUGCGUAACGCGUGGGAAUCUGCCCUUGGGUUCGGAAUAACAGUUGGAAACGACUGCUAAUACCGGAUGAUGACGUAAGUCCAAAGAUUUAUCGCCCAAGGAUGAGCCCGCGUAGGAUUAGCUAGUUGGUGAGGUAAAGGCUCACCAAGGCGACGAUCCUUAGCUGGUCUGAGAGGAUGAUCAGCCACACUGGGACUGAGACACGGCCCAGACUCCUACGGGAGGCAGCAGUGGGGAAUAUUGGACAAUGGGCGAAAGCCUGAUCCAGCAAUGCCGCGUGAGUGAUGAAGGCCUUAGGGUUGUAAAGCUCUUUUACCCGGGAUGAUAAUGACAGUACCGGGAGAAUAAGCUCCGGCUAACUCCGUG
rnacentral:rRNA from 1 species